UGGGGAAUUUUGGACAAUGGGCGAAAGCCUGAUCCAGCAAUGCCGCGUGUGUGAAGAAGGCCUUCGGGUUGUAAAGCACUUUUGUCCGGAAAGAAAUCCUUGGCUCUAAUACAGUCGGGGGAUGACGGUACCGGAAGAAUAAGCACCGGCUAACUACGUGCCAGCAGCCGCGGUAAUACGUAGGGUGCAAGCGUUAAUCGGAAUUACUGGGCGUAAAGCGUGCGCAGGCGGUUUGCUAAGACCGAUGUGAAAUCCCCGGGCUCAACCUGGGAACUGCAUCGGUGACUGGCAGGCUAGAGUAUGGCAGAGGGGGGUAGAAUUCCACGUGUAGCAGUGAAAUGCGUAGAGAUGUGGAGGAAUACCGGUGGCGAAGGCAGCCCCCUGGGCCAAUACUGACGCUCAUGCACGAAAGCGUGGGGAGCAAACAGGAUUAGAUACCCUGGUAGUCCACGCCCUAAACGAUGUCAACUAGUUGUUGGGGAUUCAUUUCCUUAGUAACGUAGCUAACGCGUGAAGUUGACCGCCUGGGGAGUACGGUCGCAAGAUUAAAACUCAAAGGAAUUGACGGGGUCAUAGCUGUUUCCU
rnacentral:rRNA from 1 species